AGAGUUUGAUUAUGGCUCAGGAUGAACGCUGGCGGCGUGCUUAACACAUGCAAGUCGAACGAACCUUCGGGUUAGUGGCGGACGGGUGAGUAACGCGUGAGAAUCUGCCCUCAGGAGGGGGAUAACGGUUGGAAACGACCGCUAAUACCCCAUAUGCCUACUGGUGAAAUGAAUUUCGCCUGAGGAUGAGCUCGCGUCUGAUUAGCUAGUUGGUGAGGUAAUGGCUCACCAAGGCUUCGAUCAGUAGCUGGUCUGAGAGGAUGAUCAGCCACACUGGGACUGAGACACGGCCCAGACUCCUACGGGAGGCAGCAGUGGGGAAUUUUCCGCAAUGGGCGAAAGCCUGACGGAGCAACGCCGCGUGAGGGACGAAGGCCUCUGGGCUGUAAACCUCUUUUCUCAAGGAAGAAGAUAUGACGGUACUUGAGGAAUAAGCCACGGCUAAUUCCGUGCCAGCAGCCGCGGUAAUAC
rnacentral:rRNA from 1 species